rnacentral:ncRNA from 2 species
CCCAGACUCCAGGCUGGGUGACAGAGUGAGACCCUGUCUCUUAAAAAAAAGUGCUGGGAUUACAGGCAUGAGCCACCGCGCCCGGCCUCAUGUAGAACUUUUAAUUGAACUUUUUGUCCCCGUUUACAUUAUAAUGUGAAAAUAAAAGAUGAAAAUCAAAAUGAAAGCAUUUGUUGAUUUGAA